rnacentral:rRNA from 1 species
CGGUUGAUCCUGCCGGACCCGACUGCUAUCGGGGUGGGACUAAGCCAUGCGAGUCGUGCGCUCCGGGCUGCCGGGGCGCGGCGCACGGCUCAGUAACACGUGGUCAACCUGCCCUGCCGACGGGGAUAACCCCGGGAAACUGGGGCUAAUACCCGAUAGGCGCUCGCACCUGGAAUGGGCGAGCGCCGAAAGGGAUGCAAAGGCACGCUCUUUGCAUCCGCGGCAGGAUGGGACCGCGGCCGAUCAGGUAGUUGGUGGGGUAACGGCCCAUCAAGCCGAUAACCGGUACGGGCCCUGAGAGGGGGAGCCCGGAGAUGGGCCCUGAGACAAGGGCCUAGGCCCUACGGGGCGCAGCAGGCGCGAAAUUUCCGCUAUGCGCGAAAGCGCGACGGAGUCACCCCGAGUGCCGGCCGCAGAGGCCGGCUUUUGCCCAGUCCAAAAGGCUGGGCGAAUAAGGGGAGGGCAAGUCUGGUGUCAGCCGCCGCGGUAAUACCAGCUCCCCGAGUGGUCGGGACGUUUACUGGGCUUAAAGGACCCGUAGCCGGCUCUGCAAGUCUCUCGUCAAAUCCGGCGUCCCAAGCGCCGGGCUGCAAGAGAUACUGCGGGGCUUGGGAGCGGGGGAGGCCGGCGGUACCGCGGGAGUAGGGGUAAAAUCCUCUGAUCCCCGCGGGACCACCAGCGGCGAAGGCGGCCGGCUAAAACGCGUCCGACGGUGAGGGGUGAAAGCUGGGGGAGCGAUCGGGAUUAGAUACCCCGGUAGUCCCAGCCGUAAACGAUGCGGGCUAGGUGUGCGGGCAGCUUCGAGCUGCCCGCGUGCCGCAGGGAAACCGUUUAAGCCCGCCGCCUGGGGAGUACGGCCGCAAGGCUGAAACUUAAAGGAAUUUGGCGGGGGGGGCACCACAAGGGGGUG